UUAAGUUCAGCGGGUAUUCCUACCUGAUCCGAGGUCAACCUUGAUAAAAUAAAUGAGUAAGACCGGGCCUAGACUCCCGCCUAGUACGUGCUAUAAAAGCUCAUUGUACUGGGGUCCUCACAGACGCCUCAUUAUCUUUGGGACCGGUCUUAGCUAAAGCAUGACCUGAAGUCCAACAGCAAGCCAGGCUUGAGAGGUGA
rnacentral:misc_RNA from 1 species